GGCGGAUGUGAAGCUUUGAAGCCCCAAGACCGGAAGCUGUAAAAUUCCUGUAACUGAUGCUGGAAAUUUCGCCUUCGCCGGAAAACUCUACCGCCGUCGCCGCUGCCGUCGUGAACCGGGCCGCCGAGGAAGACGGUGCAGCAGCCUCUGCCGGAUUUUCGGAGGACGCUGACCGGAACUGGCCCGGUAAUCGGUGGCCGCGAGAGGAGACUAUGGCUUUGCUGAAGGU
rnacentral:misc_RNA from 1 species